rnacentral:lncRNA from 1 species
GCAAUGGUUGGUGAAAUUAUCAAGGACAAUACUACAAGAUUCUCACUGCCAGAAGUACAAGUAGAGAGUAGUACCAGGUGAGGAAUUUAAGCCCAGAUAGGCAAGAACCUCUUUCUUCACCUGCAGAGAAACAAGAAAAGCUUAUAAAGCAGACUUUUGACCCAUUUAGUCUUUUUUUCACAAAAACCAGCGACACUGAUCCAUCUAGCUUGUCCUCAACUAUUAAUCAUGCUACUAAUACAUUUUGAACAGUCAUAAUGAGGCAAGGUGUGGCAAGUGCAGAAGCAUUCUUACCUGCCAGUGGUUAUCAACAAAGUCAGAUAUCUCCCUCACUUUACGGUUCAGUUGUAUCUUCGAGACACUUGGAAACUUCUGAUGCAGUAACUCAACCAGCUUGUUGAUACCAUCUCUAUUUGACCGUAUUACCCCAACCUGCAUUCAGAAAUAAAUGAGGUAGAAUUAUAAUAUGUUUUAACAAUGUGAUCUCCAAUCACACAGAACACCCAUGAGUCAUGACUACUUACAAUUUCUGGUAGAUCGGUAUCCAGUAUAGCAGAUCCAGCGGCAGGACUACUUUUUACAUUCAACUGGUUGGUUUCUUCAGCAGUUGCAAAUGAACUGUCAUCGACUGGUGCAUCGGCAACUGAACCUCCAGGACAGAUACGCAUUGAAAGAACUUGUAGACAAAGCUGCUCAACCUUAGACGUUCCCUUGAGAUCCCCAGCGGUUAAUAAUUCAGCUUUUUCAUGAGUUAAGUCGGAUAUUACUAAAGGUUGGCUCUUACGGAGAGCCUGUUCGGUUAAAUUGUUAAGCACUUUUUGCUGGCGUAGCAAAGUUCUGAAUUCCUCGACUUCUGGACAAUGGCUGGGUGGCAAACUACUUGCAUCAUCAUCCUUAUCAUCCAAUAGACUUUCUAUCUGAAUCCCCUGCAGUGAAAAAGCUCAAAAUGCUGAAUUAUAGAUGACUUUAUUAUGAUGCAUACUUGAGAGUCAGUAUCACACUAAUGCACAUGAAAAAUCUAUUGAUCUCACAUAUGCAAAGAUAAAUAGAAGUUUGUCAGCGGAAAAGGGCACUUGCACUACUUUCGUUUUAUUUUUGUGAAAAAAAUGUAAUUUCUGCUAUCUUCUUUUGAAUGCAUUUGCAGAAGUUGGUUCGCGUGUUCAAAGACAAAGGGAAUCAGAUAAGUUCUGCAGAUUGGAUUGGCUAAAUUCAUAUCAGGCUAUAUAAUAUUUGCAGGUGUGUCAGUUAUCUGAAUACAGGCUUGGCUUUUCAUCUUGCCCCUUUGUUAACAUGAUUUAGCAGGUGCAUACACAACAACAAAUGUGAAUUAUAGAUCUACCUUACAUCAUUAAAAGAUAAUUCAUUAUUCAAUUCUAUAUUGGUAUACCUCAUUAUCGGAGAGGUAACCAUCAGGCACAACAAAGCUAUCUUCUUCUUCAUCAUCAGUAAUCUUAGAAUCUUCCUCCAUAACCUCAUCAUUGUCCUUCUCACAGUCAGAAAGACUCUCACCAGGAUCCUCCUGUGCAGCAAACAUAACAUGAGUAUCUCUUUCGAGAAAAUAAGGACAAGCAAGAAGCAAGACCACCAGCAAUUACCUCUUCCCAUUCAUCAUCACUAUCAAUUUCAUAAUCAAGAUCAGGGUCCAUCUUAAGUGGACACUUUGGACGAACAACAGCACUGCAAAUAAUAACAGCAAAACAUGAUAUGGCAGUAGAUUUGAAAAUAUUAAGAAAUUGUUGAUAUUCUGCAGAUGAAGUUAACCUUUUUUUCCUCCAAGUCCCAUAAUAGGCUGGCCUGUUACUUUUGGCAAAUUGCAGAAGCUUUCUCUUUAUUAGUCUAGCUGGCACAGAAUUAGCAUUGGCAGUGACAUGACAUUGCAUCUCACUGGUCGGAACCAUAUCGACAUCAUUUACUAUCUUAUUUGAUUCAUUUUCUUGACUUGAGUUGUGGCAGGUAUCUUCACUUGGAGUAGAAUUUAUUUCAUCAAGCAUGUCAUCUGAGGUCUUUUGAAGCUUGAGCUCUUUAAAUGCCUCCUUCUUAGGUUUGCAUCUGAUACCCCA